UUCUUUUUCUUUUUACAUCCAUACAACCAUGAGCCUUUUCUUUGUUUUUUUUCUUUCUUUUCUUUUUCUUUGCUCAAUGGUUUCAAGGGUGAUUUCUUUUUCUUGUUUCUUUUCAUAUUUUCACCCUUUCAUAAAAACUCACUUCUCCAAGUUUCUAAUCAACUCUUUUUACUUUACUCUCCCCAACUUUAGAUUCCAAAACCAAAUUUAUUCAAUAAUGCUC
rnacentral:lncRNA from 1 species